UGAACCCCCUGCAAAAGCUGUGGCUGCAGCCGCGACUUCAACAGAUGUGCGCUUAUAUGACUUCAUCAUAAUCACCUGACACGUGAAAUAAAAGAAGCUGAAGUUAAGGCAAGAUUUGAACAGAUGUGCGUUAGCUCGCUGUCUGUAGCUUUAUCAUGGAAAUAAUUGACGUUUCUUGGCUUGCUGGCAACAACAACACAGUUGCAUGUGUAUGCAUGUGUUGUUGUUUGCACUGAGUACAUAGGCUUUCUCCGGUGUCAUGAAAUUAAUCAGUUGGGAGUUUAGUGUCCCCCUGUCUGCUGCAUCGUCAUGUUCAUCUUGUUUCCUUCACUCUUUAUGAGAUGCAAAAAUAUUCCAAAAGCCGGGUGAAUUCACGAUUGAAAAAAGUUUUACUCUGACUUAACAAAUUGCAACUGAUGUCUGUACACAGCAACUUGAUGAUGACGAUGAGAUGGUGCCUUCUGAUGUUAUUUCCUUGUUUACAAACGUCUAUAUCUGCCUGUCCAUUGAUGUGGUAGAGGCGCGUUUGAGAGAAGAUUGUAAUUUAGAAAGUCGUAUGUCCUUGUUGUGGAGGAAAUCAUAAUUUUGUUGCAGUUUUGCUUGAACCAAACCUACUUCAGUUUCGACAACACGAUUUAUCAUGAAAUUGAAGAGUGCCCUAUGGGAAGUCCCGUUUACGUUACUGUGGCAAACUUAGUGAUGGAGCAUGUUAAAACACAGGUGCUGAACUUGCUACCUUUUCAGUGAAAAUGUAUUGUAGGUACCUGGAUGACACCUUUGUAAUAUUGAAAAGGGCAAACCUGUUUGCCUUCCACGUGGCGCUGUACAGCGUACACAAUGCCAUUCACUUCACGAACGAAACCGAGAGAGAUAAUAUCUCACCUUUUCUGGAUGUGCUUGCACGUCGGGCCGAUAACGGCAGUGUGGAAACGACAGUGUACCGUAAGCAGACUGAACAUUUUUAUCCUUUGUCUCACAUCACCCGACCAAACACAAACGCUCCGUUGUGAGAACUUCUUUAUCACAUUGUAAUGCAGUGUGCUUGAUGCAUUAAAACAAUGCCAUUAUCCCAAGACGUUUAUUCACGAAACCCUGAAGCGAAUGUGGAGGUGAAGGGGGAGUAAGUCAUGAGUGAGGGCAGCAUCUAUUGUAUCUAUUCUCUAUGUCUAGUGUGUGCCAGACACUGUUGGGGGAGCUUUGCGUCCGCUGGGCAUACAAACCGUUUUUAAACCCCAUUAUACAUUGGGGAAUGUGUUCACGAAACUGAAAGACCGCACCUCUGUGGACAAUCCAAGCGGGGUCAUCUAUAAAGUCCGAUGUGGGGAUUGACGCAGCUUACAUUGGCGAAAUGGGCAGAAAAGGGGCAACGAGAUUGAAAGAACACAAAGGAGACGUUGCCGAGGCCACCCAUGCAACGCGUUCUAAGAUUAAACUUGUCGAACACUGCUGGACGACAAGGCAUAGUUUCGACCUUGACAUUGCUACGACGCUGGCCCAAGAGCAAAAUUGUGGGAAAAAAAAGCUCCUUGAAUUCUGGUUCAUCAGUCAUGACGCAUCGGCGUGCAACACCAACCGGGGUCCCCUGCCGGACGUUUACAAGAACAUGUGUGAUAAGUAAACUGGGACCUCCCCUCAUUUGUGUCAGUGCAUACUGAAGAAGCAACUUGCAUAGCUGGCAAAACAUCUAUACCCUUUUGGUUGUUAAUUUGUUAUGCUAAGUCAGAGUACAACUUUUUUCAGUCACUCUUUAUCAGGUGCGCUUAUUCAUACGUGAUUACACAUUACUUGUAAGACAACUCUGUCUCAUAGAGUGAGCUGUGCUGCACAUUGUUGCGAUGAUAAUGUGAGUUCAAUCCAGCUCGGGCAUUUAUGAAGGGAAGAGAUUGAGUGCCGAAAAUGUCUGUCAUGGAGAUCAGUGUUGUGACAUUUCAUCGUGCCAGCUGUAGACAGCAAUAGAUUGGCGUUUUGGGUGCCAAGGUGACCACGUCAAGAAAUAAACAUGUGCGAGACGUUCCUGUAGGAAUGGAACUUGAAACUUAAUUGUCGCUUUCCAAGCGCUUAGUGAAAUUCCUAGAUAUAUAAAAAAAGAUCAACAGAGUGUCUACAUGUAGCAUUGUUGCCAGAGUACACUGUGCAAUGUUUCAGCGCUUCUCUAAAGGAACUUGGAUAUCUUUUACAGGCUGCGCCACUUGUGGGGCCAGCAAGAAUAGGCUGUGGUCACCGCACCACUGAUAUUUCAAUGCGUCAUGCACUGCUGCUUUAGAAUUAGCUACGUUCCUUUUGCUCAUGUAUAUGGUGAUGGAAGAAGAGGACGUUGAGCUCAGGAUGCAAUCUUGUUCCAUUUGGAACAAGAUUGCAUCAGGGCCGUCGCCGAGGUUUAAUAUGGAAACCUCUCCUGAACAACACUGUCGCGUUUUCUCAAAACAGUACUUCUUCCCCUUGAGCUCGACGUCCUCUUCUUGCACUGCUGUUGUUUAUAUUUUGUUUUUUUGUUUCGUGCAUAUAAUUUGUUCGCUUUGACCAAAUACUUCACUCGGGUCAAUUGUGAUUUAUAGAUUACAAGAUACUAGCUGGUUUUCAUUUUUCCUUCUGCACUGCCUACCAUUUUUGUAAUCUCCGCACAUUCUUGUGUGGACAUGUGCGUGUGUGUGUGUGUGUGUGUGCACGCACUUUGUUUUUAUCGCACUCCCCUUAUUUCAUGCUUCCUCAUCUCACCUGAAGUAGCAUGCAAAGCCUUAAGACAAGCUAACCUCUCCAGUUAUUCUAAAACUUCUCUUUUUGCUGAAAAGAUAAUGCACUGAGAGUAGUGGCACAGUCAGUAAAAGCCGCCUUGCGGAGGGCUUGGUAACUGGAUAUGUAUUGCGUCCCCUGCUUGCAAAUGAAUGGCGCUGUAGGCAGCGUCUGUCUGUUGCUGUCUUCGAAUUACGGGGGAGCCUCCCUUUAGCAUGGUUAAGGAGCUUCCAGGAAUUAUCUCAGCAGGGUUGGCAUUUUCUCAAAUGUUUUCCAGAAGGACUCGAGUUUUUCACAACCAUUUGGGAUUAUCUAAACAUAUCUAGCAAUCAGGGACCUCAUAAUCUCUGUUUGCCGGAAUUGAGUUUAGGAAGUCAAAGAUUCGCUAUAGCCUGGCGAUUUUUAGGGCUCGUAGCGAUGGCUUGUUCCAACACCAACCUUACGUGUCACUAUCAUCAUUAGCCUAUUUAUGUACUUUGCAGGAUGAAGGCCUCACCUAGGGAUCGUCAGUUACCCCUGCCUCAAAGUCAAGAGUCUGACAAACCUUCAUCUGUUCAAGAAGAACCGUGAAGAAAACAGAACACAUGCCAACCUGUGUUACGAAAUUAUUAAAUACUUGAGCCUUGCUCACAAUGAACAAUAAGCAGGAAGGACUUAUAUAGGAUUGAGCUCUUUAUGCUUGUACCUUACGUUAUGUGCUCAUUCACAGUAAACUCGUGCCCUUCCUGUUUCUUCUUCAUUGUGAACAAGGCUCCCAUGUGAACUUUGUAAUGUGAAGUUUUUUAAUAAUUUGUUCACCUUGGCCGGCGUAUGUUCUGUUUUCCUCAUAACUCUGCUGCCUUACGUCUGCCAACUACAUCUUGUACCUGCAAGUUUCCUCACCUCAUCGGGCCACAAAAGUGUCUGCUGCCCAUGACAAUGCUUCUCUUCUCCUGGAACCUAUUCCAUUACUCUAAACAGACCAUCGGUCAUCGUCACACAUUACAUGCCCUGCACAACUCAACCUAUUUAUUGUAAACUCAAGUAGAAUAUCAGCUAGCUGCAUUCGGCUCUCUGGCCCGUACUGCGGUCUUCCUGCUUCCUAAUGUUACAUUUUUCGUUUUCUGUUCCAAUGCUCAUUGUGUGGCCCAUAGCUUUUUCUCAAGCUAAGUACGGUAGAUGUUGAGCAUUCCUUUUCUCUUGGACACAAGCUAAUAGUCAGUGAAUUCACUGCAAAAUAUAUAGAUUAGUCGUGGCGCUCUUUGGUCAGACUUGGCCCUUGUGCCAAGAAACCUUACAAAUUGUCAUCAAUACUCAGUGAAAAUAGGCACAGCAUGAAACCCAGAAAUCUUGGAAUGGUGCUUGUUUGUUGCUGCUUUCUCAAAUUUUACCGUGGCAUCUAAUCACACUAGAUUUCAGAUCAGCCUUGUGACCUAUGCAACCUGUCUCAUUCCGUUUCGUUGAGAAAAUGAAACGAAUUUUACAAAACACGGGUUUAGUGGGCUGUGUUCUUUGAGAAUCAUAAUUUAUUCACAGAUGCACAGGGAAUUUCUUUUUAAUUGAGCCUAUACAUGCCUAAAAGACGGUUAUUGGUGCCUGUAUAUGCCUGAAAUGGCAGUUGUAGUGCCUGUUACAGGCACCUAAAACAGCAGUUUUCAGUGCUUAAACAUCUGAUCUCUACACAUGACAUACCUCUUUUAAUGCGACAGAAUAUGCGAGUGCAAAGUGUUCAUAGAGUGAAGUUAUUUUUUGAAACCAUCUUGCUUGUGAAAUGCUGCUAAUAACCAGAGAACUGUUGCAGGCUGCCGUGCACCAGCCUUCCGUUCCCCUUCAGAGUUGAUGUCGUUGUUCUGACACAUAAAAACUUAUUUAGUGUUACAUAUUUUUAGAGUGCUAAAGUGGUAUGUUAGAAUUGGACUCUUUGGAGCUGGCUUGUGUGCUAACCACUACACUUGCAAUGCUGUUCAGCCUACUGUACUCUUAUAUGGAAUUACAUUCAAACUAGCAGGAAGUAGGACUUAUUAUUGCAGCAUUUCAUAAUUAUUGAUAACGCUCGAGUUCUGAACAAUCUAUGUUCUCAGAUCAUAGUGAAAACUCGUGAGGAUCUGUUUUAUCUUGGUUUUUGUUUGGAAGCUGUGGUGAAAUUGUUUUGAGCAGUGAAAAAGUAGACACAUUUACAGAAGUUCCUUUGUGUGUGCAUGCUUUGAAUUUUUUUUAACAAAUCGCUGAACUUGUUCAGUUCAGCUAUUUGUACUUUUAUGCAAAUCUUUUUUUUUUUUUGACCAAAGAGAAAAUCCUCGGUGCCCUCCCCCCUAGUUUUUUUUAGAGGCACUGCAACUGUUUUGUUAUUUGCCUCACAGCUUAGAAACAAGCAUCAUCUUUCAUUGCUACAUUGUCUAGUGUUUUAGGUGUACUUACUUGUAACCAGCCAGCUUUGUGACUAAUUUCUGGUUCAAACUAAUUUGCACCAGUUAUAGGAACACUGGUGUUAUGCUUUUGUUGUUUCGCAAUCCCAUGCUUCUCUCAGUAUUUUUGUUUAAAAUUUAUUUCAUUUGGUCCUAGAUUUGCAACCCCAUUUAUAUUCGAGAUGUUGUAGUGUGUCGGUAUUGCACAGUGUGAUGCUUUUUGGUAAUUAAUACAUCUAUUUGUUCAUGUUCAUCCUUUUUCACUCCAGCCAUGCAAAAGCUGGUGCUACUUUAUAAACACUGACCCUUCACAGCAGUUUGGGUGCUUUUGGAACAGAAAGUGCUCAAUUUAAUUUUGGUAAUUGGUAAGGGCAGAAAAUUAAUUUCCCAGGAUCUUGUUUGAAAAGAAAGAUAAAUCUUCAACCUCAACGUUUUUCUUUACUGCCUACAAGCCAAGUUUUUUUCUUUUUUGACACGCUAAGAUGGUUGUGGUGCAUAUCGUGGGAAGUCAGUAAUGCAACACAGAAAUUCAACAAAACAAAGUUGAAGCUGGACAGAAAAUUGCAUGAAUCUAUUAAGCUAGAAGCCGCAGUUUGCUGACAUUGCAAGUGACACUUGCCACUUAUUUCAACAGCUCAACGAGAUGUUUACCUAGCAUAGUAGACUACACUUUUGAAAUACAAUAUAGCUCAGCCUUACUGUUAACAAAGGCUUAUUGUGCCGGAAUAAAGGUGACCAGAAAAAAGAAAGAGGCUGGUAUUAACAACUAUUUGAAAAUUCUUGUAAUGAACUUGUCAUGAAUUUUUACAGUGCCUUGUAAGAGUGAGUCAAGUGUAUUUAUUGAUUAAAGAAGAAUCUCAUUACAGUUGAAACCAAAUGGGGGUUCCAAAUUUUAAAAUUUUGCCACUUUUCCCUAUUGAAGACUGCCAAAAUAUAGAAAACUGACACAUCCACGAUGUCGUACUGAUUCCGACUCUGAAACUGCUCAGGCGUCAUAUAAAAACAGGAAAAUUUGGCCUUCAUUUUAGUAAUCAAAUUUUAGGGAAGACAGCACAAAAUGAUACAGUCUUUUGCUAGUGCAUUAAUACGGCAGUGCGAGAACAGCCAACCGAAUAAGCACACAGUUUAUCAACAAUGCAUGGGCAAAUCACAACUGUCUGCAUGAUUGUUUUACUUUGUACUAUUAUUGAUUCCCUACAUGCGAAUCAACUUUUCCAGAAACGCAUUCCUUUAUUCGACCUUUCUGUUCCCAAAUAACACAAAUGCAGUUUUGAAUUAUAGUAUCACUAGUCUAAAGCAGGUCUAGCCUUAGUGUUCCUUUAUCUCUGCUUGUUGCAGGAAGUCGUCGGGACAUGAUUGUGGCCGACUCUGGCAAGCUGCACCUGCUGCCGCAGAUGGUGUCCCGGCGGUUCGGGUGCAGCCUGUGCUCCUACACAGCGGGUGCCAGUAGCCUCGUGGAACGCCACAUGCGGACACACACGGGCGAGCGGCCGUACCGGUGUGAACAUUGUUCCAAGGCUUUCAGCCAGCGGUGCAACCUGGUGCGGCACAGCAGGAUGCAUACAGGCGAAGUGCCCAACGACCGAGGCGCCCCGACGGGUCUUACAAGGAGGAGAGCCAACAAAGGGCGUGAUGGUCAGUGAUGAUGCUGAAAGGACGACCGUAGAGGUCAGCAGGUAUCGAGCGGUGGUCCAAAAAGACGCCUUUAGCCAGCGUGAUGUUCUCAUCCUUUGUUGGAGCCUUACACUGUUUAUGCCUGGGAUAGCAAAACCCAGUGAAGCCAUGUACACAACCAGAGAACCACAGCAUUUUAUCACACUAUAUUUACAAGCUCACGUGUUUCAAAUGCCACUUUUACAAAGUAAGGUGUCGCACUGCAACACAGCAGUGCUGAGCUGAACAAGUGAAAUGACGCUACGCAAGAGUUCUCAGGUGAUCUGUGUAUGGUCAUAAAGUCUUGUUUGCCUUCAUAUUUAGUUUAGUCAUGUUCCAGUCAAGACGAGCAACUGAGGAAAAGUAUUUUUGCGAAUGACUUAUUGUAUGCAGCCUUUUAUUUUCAUGUUGAAGCGUAGAGAUAGUACUAAAGGAAGAUGAUCAGUGUAACUGAGUAAUCUUCCAGUCUAUGUUAACCAUACUGGCCAAUAAAGGCGAUUAUGGUCUAAAGGGCUUGCUUGCCUAUAAUUCUUUAAGCAUUGCAUGCAGCCUUUUGUCGAUGCUUUGGCCCUAGUCACGACAGGUCGAGAAUGCAGUGGUAAGUGCUCCCCAAAGGGAACACGUGUACAUGAGCCAGCAAAUGCCCUCAUCCCUGGUAUCCCUCUCCUUCUACUAUAUCCUUUUUAUCGGCUUCCCUGUAGUUAAACUUCUCCCUUGCAGGGGAACCUUGUUUUUCUAAGUGUGAGUGAUGCCCAUUGUGAAGAGAUCAGCCACGUCAUUUAGCCUUGCCUGUGGUGCACACACUGGAAGUAGAGAGUGUUGGCAAGGAAGUACCGUAUUUAUUCGAUUAUAAGGCAGUCACGAUUAUACGGCGAAGGUGCCAGUUCGGGGUCCCAGGAAAUAUAACUUUAUUAAGUAUUUGCGCUAAUAUAAGAAAGACAGAAACUUUAUUUACAUCAUUAAGAUGAUGAUGGGGACGUAGACAAAAAGCCUUUCACAGGCUUGAUGAGGGUCUAUGCCCCCUACAAAAAACUUGGCUUAUACGAGCAUAGAUAAUAACUAUGCUCGUAUAAAGACAUUAUAGGGUAGCCAAAAGAUUCUUCAGACUCAAUGGACAUUGCCCAAAAUAUAGAAUAAAUCAGAAGCCCCCGGAAUAAUUAGUGCAGGUUAUAUGCGAAUUUCGCCUGGAGUGGCGACUUCACGACAGUCCGAAUUUUGGCUUACAGUGUGGCUUCACGGCAGUGCAAAGUUCACAUUACGGUAACUUCCAACUCGCCAUUACGCUUAAAUUUUUCGAAGUCUCAGUGCGGUACUACCUUAUCUGCCAAGACUUAUUAGUUGCUACAAUUUGCACUGCUGUUUAAAGUUUGACUGACCAGAAAUCUGGCGCUGGUGCUGCCAUAUUUAAACAGUAACUGAAUCUGUCAGCCUCACAUAUAAGGGUCAGGGUGAAUUCGAGGCUAAGGAUUCUGGCGAGAAACCUCGCCUUAUAUUCGAGUAAAUUUUGUACAGGAGAUCAGGUCAGAUCAAUCAAUUAAUCUGUUAUAUAGCAUCAGUGUUUAGACGAGCGAGCGAAGACGAGGAGAGCGAAGUGGCGCGACCAAGGACUCUGAGCUCGUGACCACGCAGCCUGCCUUGCAGCGUUCUGAAAUGCAAUAAAAGGCACUGAUGGCAAAUGACAAAUGAUGACUUGGGAUAAAAAGAAACAUAGGUUGAUUGAAAACGCAGCUCAAGAAUCGCCCUAUUAUUCUGGUCUAGGAAAUGACUCACUCGAAGACAACCAUUUCAUUACGACAAGACCGCUACUCAGUUCAGGUGCCGCGCAUCCAACAGAAGAUGCACCCGCGGCGUUUGACUUGUCUUCUAAUGCGUACCCAGAUUUGCCCACUGAAGCAGGGGUGCCUGAAAGAAUGCAAUAAUCAGAACAGUCGCAACUCAUUCCAGACUAUACCCUGUGGUCGCUAUGGUUGGUUCUAAAGAUGCCAGAGGGACUAGGAAUUUGAACAUAUCAACAUAAAAUUGCAUGAGAUAAGUUCACUAGAGGGGGGAAGUAUUAUAUAUCAGCGUUCGGACAGCGAGUGAAGACGAGAAGAGCGAAAUGGCGCGACCAAGUACUCUGAGCUCGUGAUCACGCAGCCUGCCUUGGAGCGUUCUGAAAUGCAAUAAAAGGCACUUUAAAACACAAUCAAAGGAGCUUUCAUUUCUCCUUGAGAAAUAUAGGGGCGAUGAAAAAAACCUGCAAAUUGGCAACUUGACAAGACUCUCACCCCCUACUGCGUGGAACAGCAAGUAAGCCGCGGAACACUUGCAAGUGAUACAUGUGCAGGAAGCAACAGAACAUGAUGGGUAAAUCCAUGCACUGUUCAAAAAGAAAUUCAAGAAAAUAACACACUUAUAAAGAUAAAAAGGAUUUAUCUGAGAUGCCUCAGCGCGAAAAGUGUGCAAAGCAGAGAAAGUGCUAACAUGUCUCAAAGGAAAUAAUUUACCCCACGUAAUGAAGGCAAUACUACUGGGGAAAAAAGAUUUGUCAGAGAUAAGAUACAUUCACAAAACUACUGAUCAACAACAGGACCUAGAACUGCCUGUCACAGAAUAUAUGAAGGAAUGCAAUCACAGUCCCUUCUAACAAAUAGAUUCGAGCAUUAGAAAAAGAGCCCUACUAAUGCCUCUUCUAGCCCUUUACAAACAACCGGUUCAAGCUGUGAGCUGCUUUCUUUGUCCGCAAACUUGGCAAUGUUUAGUGUUUGUGAAUGCAGUGUACGACCGCAGGAUGCUUUUUGUUUUUUGAACAUCUUGAUCUUCUGAUGUUCUCAUCUUUGCACUGGUGAUGUCUUGUAGAAGCUUUCUCUGACGCAUAGGGAUGAAAGGCAGAUGCAUCAUGCUUUCCUGGGAGUAGUUUCUCUUGCUUUUUGACUUGUCACCUACUGCAGUAAAUUUUAUAAACAGGGACAUGAGUAUGCUAAUAGCGCUUAAAUAUUUUAACAUAGAUGUUGGACUCAUUUCAUAGUCCCAAAACACAUUUGCAUUAGUCACACUUCUGUCAAUCCUCUAUGAUAGGCAGGCAAGUCAUUCAAACCCUUUACACGCAUUGUGUUCUCAUCCUAGUACAAGUUGCUUUCAACUGUGCUACAGGUGAUAGACAGUUAAACCUGCUUAUAACGCAUUCCUGGAUAUAAUGAAGUUUUUCUAUACCCCGCCGUUACUCCUAGAAGCACAUGUAUUUGAGACCUCUCCGUAACGAAGUGGCAGCGGGAGACCCCUUCGAAAUAACGAAUUUGCCCUGCCGACAACCUAGAGAUUUUGCCCCAAAUUUUGUCAUUUUUGCGUGAGCAGCAACCGGAAGAACCUUCUCCACCGCGACAGAAUGCGAAGCGAGCGCACGUGUGCGUGCGUGCGCGAGGCGGGCCUGCAUCCCUCGACCCGGCGAUCUUGCCGCCGCGGGCGUGACCUUUCCCCCUCCCUUCAUUCAAACCUGAUCCCGCCGCUUGCUGCAGCUGGCUUAGCCCGCCAAGCCAGCACUCUCCUUUUCCAGUUGAUGUUGCCGACGCGCUGGCAGACGCUGUGACACAUCACACUCGAUGAGCGCGGACACGCGCUGUCAAACGCUGGCGGCGUGUGGAAGCGCCGUUGCAGAAGCGAGCAAAGUGACCUUCGUGCUGUUGUCUAUCGCUUCAACACAAACUGAGCAACGAGAACAUACAGCACGCACAAAGCUAUGAGCCGCUGAUGCACCUACACUGCCUAGACUCUGUCCAACGCAGAUCGCUUUCAAGAUACAGCCCGCGCGACCGCGCGCCGCCGUGCAGUACGCAGUUGAUCAGAGUACGGUACAACGCCGCCCGCUUUCCCUCCCGCCUCGCUCCCUCGCCGGUGCCUCAAGCGCAACGGAAGAAGGCGUGCUGCCAUCCUGCUUUGCUUUCUUGCGUGCGCGAGAUUUAGACAUGGUCGUCGGCUCCCCUCGCACGUUCUCACUCGCACAUACAGCAUAUGGCGCACUUAUCGCCCUUGGAUUUUAUAAGGAACAUCUAUGAGCCAAAACCAAUUUUAGGGCCACAACGCGUCAUAGACACCAUCUUUAGAUAGCAAAUACGGAUCUCAAGGGCCAUACUUUUGCUGGCGGAAACCGAAAAUACAUCAUAGUUGUUGCCCCCGGCACUUUGGGCGGCCAAUUCCAUCGUCAAGCCACCAAGCCAAGCGACAUGAAAAGUCAAAAUGACUGCUCGGGCCGGCGCUCUGUGGCAGUUCGCAACAUAUGAUGCGGGAACAGUCUCACAGUUGCGGCGCAACAGCGGGGUUACCAAUGCAUUGGGUUCUAUGGGAGCUGUGUCAGGACCGGCCAAAAACGACAUAACACCCGGGAAAACGCAACACCCGGGAACGUAACAGCAGGGUUUUACUGUAGCACUAUACGACGCUACGACACCAUCGUGACGCUCGCUCUUCGUUUCCGAUGCCUCGCGCUUGUGCGAAACGACACGCAUCCACGCAUCCAGUACAUGGUGUGACAUUCCAAGGAUGAGUGCUUCGACAAAAACGGAAAACGGGUGCGCGUUACAAUCGAGGGCGCGUUAGAAUCGAGUAAAUACAGUAAGCGUUUCCUUUUUGAAUUUGCGUGCAUAUAACGAAAUCCUCUUUAUAAGUUUUUGGGGAAUUCAUCAAUUUCGUUAUAUCCAGGUUUAACUGUAACACCAUUGUGCCAGGCCCCAUGCCUACUGUUAAUGGAACAUAUUAUUUAUGGUUUCCUUUGUGUUUGUGUAUGAGGCCAUAUGUAUACAGUGCAGUCAAACUCGUAUUACAGUGAAACCUCGAUUUAACGAAAUUCGCUAUGUAAUAAACUAUUUUAUUUGCCUAUCUUAGUUCUAUUGAAUUAAUAAAAUCUUAAUAUAAUGAAAUUCUUCAUAUAACGAUGUUUUUCACUGCAAGUACAACUUCAUUAUAUCGAGGUUUCACUGUAUGCCACUUGCAGUGACUUGGAGGUUCGCAUAGUACACCCGUGAGCAAAAAUAUACGGACCAGCGAUUGCGCGAUAUAGCCGCUUUUUUUCAUCUUCCUGUGAAUGGAACUUGAAAUUGAGGACUGCAGUCCAAACUUGACAUUGCGAACUUUCCAAUGUACUCGUCAAUUUAAGUUUAUGCAUGUUAACUACGAAGAAGUACACUUCUUUUGGCAACCCUGUGGUCUGUAUACUUUUGCUCACGGGUCUACAUCAAGAAUUGAAGGUGUGAAAAGUCAGCCUGGACACAUCUUAUAUUUGUCACAAUCAGAGUUCCUAAUCAUCGUCAUCGGGCCCUACUGUAUUGUUGCGUUCAUGUGAGUUCAAGAACUCAAGUGGGAGACAAGCCCUUCUUGAGCAGAGAAAAGCAAAUGAGUAAAUCAAAAAUACUCUCAUUAAGAUCCAGAUGGAGUGACUAAGUUCUGAAAAUAUGAGUGUUAAGAUAAAAUCAGUCUGAAAGGAAUAUUGAAUGCAUCCUGAUUGCACACGUCUGGCCAAAUGAAAUAAGCUGGAGCCAUAAAAUUAUGAAAAAUCAAUGGGUUUAUCAAGGAUGGGUGGCAUUGCGAUAUCAAAAAAGAAGUUUUGCCAGUAUGUUUAGAAAUUGUUGAUGGAGAGAUAUUGUAAUAAAUAUGU